GUGCCAACUCCCUCUCACCAGAACUGGCUCAACUGUCAGAAACAUUCUCCCAGGUCACAGCUAUUGCACAAAGGCUCCAACCGGGAACACCCCGGUGAGGAGAGCAGUUCAGCACAGCCCCGGCAGGAAUACCAUCAAGCUCCUGGGGGUGAGCUUCCAGGCUGAUGGAGGAGGGAGAACCAGCUGGGAGGGAGCCCUCCGCCACGUCCAAAAUAGCUGGAGUGCGCAACCCUUGACAAUGGCGGGUAAGAUUCUCAUCCUGAAGGCAAUCGUCCUACCCAUUCCGCUCUAUGUGGGGAGGGUGUUUCCCCCAGACAAAGCCACCGGUAAGCUAAUCACCCGGUUGGCUUUCCGCGUUGUCUGGGGGAGUAACAUGGAAAAACUAAAACAUGUCACCCUCCUCAAGGAGGAGCGGAAUGGGGGGCAAUGGGCUUGGGUCUGCUGGACCUCACCACCCCUUAUAGCUGCCCCCUCCCCCCACGUCUACCGAGCCCUGAAGGACUUUGCCUACAGGACGGGUCUGCCCAGGGCUGGCCUAACCUCGUGGAGCUACAAAAUGAUUAUGGCUCACUUAAGAUCUGACCAAAUUGUUACGCUCCCGAGGGGUGGGCCAGACCGGGACCCGCAAGUCAUCUGGGCAAAUGUAACACACGAAUGUCUUACAAACAAACAGAAGGACAUUGCCUGGAUGACUGCCCAUAGGUGUCUAACCACCAGGACUACAUAUCGCCGGCACUUGGCCCUCACUGAUCGCUGCCCACACGGAUGCACUGACCCAAAACACAUACACCACCUGUUCUGGGAGUGCUCCGUGGCCAGGUGGGUCUGGGGCCUUGCUUGUUCCUCUGUCUUCCUUAGCAGGUUUCUGCCGAGGUCUUCCCUGACGGCUGAGGGCACCCUCGACGGUCCGCCCGGGGGGGAAGCAAGUCCGAUGAGCUCCAGCGUCAGUGGAGGACCAUUAACGCCGUGAAGCAGGUCCUGUGGGAGGCGAGGAACAUCAAGGUCCACCAAAAGACAUCCGUAGACCUGGUCACUCUUCGGAGGCGGAUUCAGAACCUCCUCCAGGACGGCAUCAUUGUGGAAACAAAAAUCUGGCUAGAGAGAAGUGAGGGGUGGAUCAUUGGAAGGAAUUUAUCAUAUAGUCCACCCCCAAAGGGACACAGAAGGGACACAGAAGCCUCUCAGGACCGCAAACCUGAGCAAAAUAGACUUCUGCUUUUCUUUACAUUUAUGCCCGUAUGGGAUUUCUUAAUCGACCCUUUGUUUCUUUGUAUUUUGUGUUGAUUUUGCUAAGUUUUGUGCUUCUUAUUUUUAAUAAUUUGUUUCAACACUUUUUCCCAAAGUUUCAUUUAAAUCAUGUCUUUGUUCUUUAGUUUAAGUGUAGUAAUAGUGUUUUUGUUUGUUAAAAUAAUUAUUUAGAGUUAU